AUGAAGAGUUUGAUCCUGGCUCAGGAUGAACGCUAGCGGCAGGCUUAACACAUGCAAGUCGAGGGGUAACAUUGGUGCUUGCACCAGAUGACGACCGGCGCACGGGUGCGUAACGCGUAUACAAUCUACCUUAUACUGGGGGAUAGCCUUUGGAAACGAAGAUUAAUACCCCAUGGUAUUACUGAAUGGCAUCGUUUAGUGAUUAAAACUCCGGUGGUAUAAGAUGAGUAUGCGUUCUAUUAGCUAGAUGGAGAGGUAACGGCUCCCCAUGGCAACGAUAGAUAGGGGUCCUGAGAGGGAGAUCCCCCACACUGGUACUGAGACACGGACCAGACUCCUACGGGAGGCAGCAGUGGGGAAUCUUAGACAAUGGGCGCAAGCCUGAUCUAGCCAUGCCGCGUGAGUGAUGAAGG
rnacentral:rRNA from 14 species